GAGGCAGAACCAUGUGUGUACAGCAAUAUGAUAUCUUCAUAUGUGCUGAAGAGGAACUGCAACAUUAUAUGGUGGCGAAUGGGCAGUCGGGACUCAAAUUAUAAUUGGUUCUACGACAAUCAUUUUCCCAACAUUU